UGUUUGUGACGUCGACGUUAUAAACACGAUCAACUUUGAUGUUUAUGACCUCGAUUUUCGACGUGAUAAACACGAUCAACUUAUGUGUUUAUGACGUCGACGUUAUAAACACGAUCAACUUUGGUGUUUAUGACGUCGAUAUUCGACGUCAUAAACACGAUAAACUUUGGUGUUUAUGACGUCGACGUCACAAACA